GUGAGGAAUAUUGCGCAAUGGAGGCAACUCUGACGCAGCCAUGCCGCGUGCAGGAAGAAGGCGUUAUGCGUUGUAAACUUCUUUUGUAUGGGAAGAAUGACAGGGAUUUAUCCUUGGAGAGACGGUACCAUACGAAUAAGCACCGGCUAACUCCGUGCCAGCAGCCGCGGUAAUACGGAGGGUGCAAGCGUUAUCCGGAAUCACUGGGUUUAAAGGGUACGUAGGCGGUUAAUUAAGUCAGUAGUGAAAGACUGUCGCUCAACGACGUGUGUGCUAUUGAGAAUGGGUAACUUGAAUAUGGGUAGAGUUGGCGGAAUUGGUCAUGUCGCGGUGAAAUGCUUAGAGAUGACUUGGAACACCGAUAGCGAAGGCAGCUGACUGAGACUUGAUUGACGCUGAGGUACGCAAGUGUGGGUAGCGAACAGGAUUAGAAACCCCUGUAGUCC
rnacentral:rRNA from 1 species